CCUGUUGAAACUAUCUAUAUUGUUGGUAAAAUUUGCGUAGAGGUUAAUUGCCAAGUACAGGCCUACCAUGCCGGUGCUUUCUGUUGUUAUCCCACACCUUAAAACAAAUCAACUUCGAUGGACAUUUACAGGCAGUUUUGAGCUGUGAGGAUGAUCAUUGAAACGCCUCAAAACGUUGCGAAGAGGCAAGAGCCUUCAGUUCUGGCGAAUUGAGACCGUCGGUUAAUUCUUAUAACCAUGAGGAUAAAGGAAGUGUUGUGGUUGAUAGUGUUAAGAAGAAACUACGUAAAAAGGGUUUCAGGUUCUUCCUCCCCCGAAUCUGCGCGAAACGAAAGCCAAGGUUCAUUAGAGCCAGUCUUCUGUUACUGAGUCUCCUGCACCUAUGCCAUGGUUGUUGCGAAGAACUGCAUACAGUUGACCAUUGACUCCAAGUCUUGAGAAGGUUUGAUUCAGCCAUUCUAUCAUCAGGUGUGAAACUAACAUUAAUGUUGUUUGCUUGGUAUAAUUGGAAUAACCAUCAAAGCUAUUGUCAAAAGCUCAAGUUUAAGAGCAGAAACUGUCUCAACUUAUAGCUGGCAACGUUGAAGAUCAGAUCUCACAAAAAAAAAAAAAAAAAAAAAACAAAUUACUUUAGGUUGCUACUAUUUUAAUUGAAGAAUUAUGUCAUGGGGUUUUAAUUUGUGUUACAAAUGUAAGGUUGGAUUGGGCCGAAAAUCUUGCGGGGAUUAUUUAAUUGUGCUAUAUGGGCCAUGUUAUAUACCAGGUUCAACCGUUCAAGUGUUUA